GAUGAACGCUGGCGGCGUGCCUAAUACAUGCCAGUCGAGCGAACAGACGAGGAGCUUGCUUCUCUGACGUUAGCGGCGGACGGGUGAGUAACACGUGGAUAACCUACCUAUAAGACUGGGAUAACUUCGGGAAACCGGAGCUAAUACCGGAUAAUAUUUUGAACCGCAUGGUUCAAUAGUGAAAGACGGUCUUGCUGUCACUUAUAGAUGGAUCCGCGCUGCAUUAGCUAGUUGGUAAGGUAACGGCUUACCAAGGCAACGAUGCGUAGCCGACCUGAGAGGGUGAUCGGCCACACUGGAACUGAGACACGGUCCAGACUCCUACGGGAGGCAGCAGUAGGGAAUCUUCCGCAAUGGGCGAAAGCUUGACGGAGCAACGCCGCGUGAGUGAUGAAGGUCUUCGGAUCGUAAAACUCUGUUAUUAGGGAAGAACAAAUGUGUAAGUAACUAUGCACAUCUUGACGGUACCUAAUCAGAAAGCCACGGCUAACUACGUG
rnacentral:rRNA from 1 species